rnacentral:rRNA from 1 species
CCUACGGGUGGCAGCAGUGGGGGAUAUUGGACAAUGGGGGAAACCCUGAUCCAGCGACGCCGCGUGAGUGAAGAAGUAUUUCGGUAUGUAAAGCUCUAUCAGCAGGGAAGAAAGAAAUGACGGUACCUGAGUAAGAAGCCCCGGCUAACUACGUGCCAGCAGCCGCGGUAAUACGUAGGGGGCAAGCGUUAUCCGGAUUUACUGGGUGUAAAGGGAGCGUAGACGGCAGCGCAAGUCUGGAGUGAAAUGCCGGGGCCCAACCCCGGAACUGCUCUGGAAACUGUGAAGCUGGAGUGCAGGAGAGGUAAGCGGAAUGCCUGGUGUAGCGGUGAAAUGCGUAGAUAUCAGGAGGAACACCGGCGGCGAAGGCGGCUUACUGGACUGUAACUGACGUUGAGGCUCGAAGGCGUGGGGAGCAAACAGGAUUAGAUACCCCAGUAGUC